rnacentral:tRNA from 1 species
GGCCGGGUAGCUCAGUCGGUAGAGCAAGGGAUUGAAAAUCCCUGUGUCGGGGGCACUGCACCUCAACCCGCCU